UCAGAGUUGUGCUCCUGGAGGGGAAAGUGCUGAGGGCAGAGAAGAGGAAAGAAACUGCAGCUAGGGGUUGCCCACGCGGUCGUGGCAGGCUCUAACAGGCUGCAGAGAUGAGGGAAGCAGGCAGGAAGCUCAGAAGAAAGCCAAUCGAUGACCCUUAGAAGGAACCAGCACGAGGUUGCCUUCUAAUUCACGUGUCUCAUCAUUUCACUGAAGAUGUAUGGAACGCUUCCCCCUUUCAAAGUGUUAAGUACUUUGCUGUCAGCAUCACCAUCACAGCCUGCGAACUCGACACUAAAGAGAGAGAAGUGGAAAAGGCAAAUUUUGGAGAAAAUAAGCAGAAGGCAUGGGGACUGGAAGUUGUGAGGUACGAUGAGGCUUUUGCUGAUACAGGAAUGAUGUCCUCACCCACUGGGCCAUAGGAGUGGCCUCCCAGGAUCAAAGAACAUGGGGAGCCAGCACUGCCAGGACGAAGAAAGAGCUUCAUUACUAUGAACUUGCUUGUGGCUGGAGGAAUUGAAGUGGAGACGCUGACUCCCGUGAGCUUGGAGACUGCAGGGAUGACAACCUUAUGUUACAUUGAUGUGUUCUCAUUUUUGUUGAGUAUGACUAUACUUCUGUACAUUUUAUUUCACUCUUUAAACAUUUAUGUUCCUGUGUUAUGAUUAAUUAAGUGUAGUAAAAUG
rnacentral:lncRNA from 1 species